GUAUUUUCCGUUGCUUAUAUAUAGCAGUAAUACUAGUACUGAGAUUCAACACGCAACACGUAUAUUUUAGCUCAGUUAACUCUGCCGCCGCAACUCAACUCUGCAGCAAAUCCAAUGGAUAAAGAUGGUGAUGCAGGUCAGAAACUAUUAACCAUGGAAGAAGCAAUAGCGUUUGUAAGUGAUGUAAAAGUUAAGUUUCAAGACAAGAGGGAAAAGUAUAAUGAAUUUUUGAAAAUCCUAGGUGAUUACAGGGCUCAAAUAAUUGAUAUAGAAGGUGUCACAACAAGAAUAGAGGAUCUGUUUAAAGGGCAUUCAGAUUUAAUUUUAAAAUUCAAAUACUUUUUGCCAAACCGAUCUGGAAUCAGUGAUGACACCGAAGAAAAGGAAGAAGACUCUGAACAAAACCCACCUGAUAGAUUAGGGUCGCCAACUCAAGAAGUUAAACUUCUGUCUCAAAAGACUGAUACAAUAUGAGGGAAUUUGGAGGAGAAGAAGCAAGUAUAACUUAGGAUUCAUAUGCUGUCAAUGUAUUUCAAAAAAAGUGAUUUGUUUAUACCUUCAAUUAAAUAAUUCGAAGAAUAUUUUUUAUAUACUACAUCUAGGUUGAGUAAGUUUAUUUUUUUUUAUGUGUUACUAAUUGAAUGUUUUUUCUAGGAUAUUUGGAAAAACGACCGAGGUAUUAUUGGACCGAGAGGUUUAGAUAUGUUAGAGAAAUGAUAUUUCUAUAAUCAAUUUGUGAUAACUAUUGUGGCAACUAUGUUUUUCAUACUCA